UACGUAGGGUGCAAGCGUUGUCCGGAAUUAUUGGGCGUAAAGAGCUCGUAGGCGGUCUGUCGCGUCUGCUGUGAAAACUCAGGGCUUAACCCUGAGCUUGCAGUGGGUACGGGCAGACUAGAGUGCGGUAGGGGAGACUGGAAUUCCUGGUGUAGCGGUGAAAUGCGCAGAUAUCAGGAGGAACACCAGUGGCGAAGGCGAGUCCCUGGACAAUUCCUGACGCUGAGGCACGAAAGCCAGGGGAGCAAACAGG
rnacentral:rRNA from 1 species